rnacentral:rRNA from 1 species
UACGAAGGGGGCAAGCGUUGUUCGGAUUUACUGGGCGUAAAGCGCACGUAGGCGGAUAUUUAAGUCAGAGGUGAAAUCCCAGGGCUCAACCUUGGAACUGCCUUUGAUACUGGAUGUCUUGAGUAUGGUAGAGGUGAGUGGAAUUCCGGGUGUAGAGGUAAAAUUCGUAGAUAUCCGGAGGAACACCAGUGGCGAAGGCGGCUUACUGGUCCAUUACUGACGCUGAGGUGCGAAAGCGUGGGGAGCAAACA